ACCCUCCCGGAAGUCAGCAGACGCUGCGUGGCACUGUCAGUGGGCAGCCUCAACAACCCCCACCACAGCAACCGUCUCCUCAGCCUCAGCAGCAGGUCCAGGCAUCACAGCCUCAGAUGACAGGGCCACUGGUCACUCAGUCUGUCCAGGGCCUGCAGCCAUCUUCCCAGUCUGUGCAAUAUCCAGCGGUCUCUUUCCCUCCCCAGCAUCUCCUGCCUGUGUCGCCAACGCAGCACUUCCCCCUGAGAGAAGAGAUGGCUGCGCAGUUCAGUCAGCUGAGCAUGAGCAGGCAGUCCUCGGGAGACACUCCUGAACCUCCCUCUGGUCCAGUCUACCCAGCCUCCCUCAUGCAAGCAGCUCAGCCACCAAGCUACGUCAUCACUUCUGCAGGCCAGCAGCUCUCCACAGGGGGUUUCUCGGACUCUGGCCCGCCCAUCUCCCAGCAGGUCCUGCAGGCCCCGCCCUCUCCCCAGGGAUUUGUACAGCAGCCUCCACCUGCGCAGAUGUCCGUAUAUUACUACCCAUCUGGUCAGUACCCUACCUCAACCACACAGCAGUACCGACCCCUGGCCUCAGUCCAGUACAGCGCUCAGAGGAGUCAGCAAAUACCACAGACCGCGCAGCAAGCAGGUUACCAGCCAGUCUUGUCUGGUCAACAGAGCUUUCAAGGCCUGAUGGGAGUACAGCAGUCAGCUCACAGCCAGGGGGUGAUGAGCAGUCAGCAAGGAGCCCCGGUGCAUGGUGUGAUGGUCUCCUACCCAACCAUGUCUUCUUAUCAGGUGCCAAUGACCCAAGGUUCUCAAGCAGUGCCCCAGCAGACAUACCAACCGCCAAUCAUGCUGCCCAGUCAGACAGGCCAAGGGUCACUCCCAGCCACCGGAAUGCCUGUGUACUGUAACAUCACACCGCCAAGCCCUCAGAACAACCUAAGGUUGAUGGGUCCACACUGCCCCUCCAGCACGGUUCCUGUCAUGUCUGCUAGCUGCAGAACAAACUGUGGGAGCAUGAACAACGCUGGCUGGCCGGUCAAGUUCUGAGAGUGCUCGGGCUGCCCGCGGUACACUUCAUCAUAUGUUAACUCAUGGCCUUCAAAGGAAGAGGAGACUUCGACAGCUGGCUGAGGACUUCCAUAUACAUUGCUGCUGGUAUUCUGUACAAACUAAUCAAAGACUAAUACAUUAGCUGGUUAAUGGUGCAUAUUUCUGUCAUGUCUGCUAGGUAUGCCUUUCUAGCUUAGCUAGGGACAUGAAUUCAUCAAGGUAAGAUUUUCUCCUACCAUGAAUACCACUGUGUAGAUUACAAUAUCCCUGAUUCGGAUUAGUUUUGUACUUUGUGUUCAGUUUGUGAUGCUAAAAGUAUUUAAAUAUAUAUAUAUAUAAACUAAAUCACACGGUACCAAAGCUGUAACGGAACAAAAGGAAAGAGUUGAGGAAUGGAAGGAAUAAUUUAUAUACACUAUAGAGUUUUCUUUUUUAAAUGGAUAUAUAUGGUAUUGUAGUGUUUAACGCAAAUAAAAGCUUAUUUGACCUUACGGAGGAAGGUCAUGUUUUU
rnacentral:lncRNA from 1 species